UUCAUAGUUGGGUAAACCAGGUAUUUAUAACUUGAAUACAUAGGGUUAUAAAAGCAAACCCGGGGAACUGAAACAUCUAAGUACCCGGAGGAAAGGACAUCAAUUAGAUACUCCCCUAGUAGCGGCGAGCGAACGGGGAUCAGCCGAACCAUAAAUGUGACUAGAAUAUGUUGGAAAGCAUAACCAGAGUGGGUGACAGUCCCGUAUAGGAAGCAUGAUUGGACAUAUUAAGUAGGGCGGGACACGUGAAAUCCUGUUCGAAGAUCGGAGGACCACCUCCGAAGGCUAAGUACUCCUUACUGACCGAUAGUGAACCAGUACCGUGAGGGAAAGGUGAAAAGCACCCCGACGAGGGGAGUGAAACAGUUUCUGAAACCGGACGCCUACAAUCAGUCGGAGGCCCCUUGAGGGCUGACGGCGUACCUUUUGUAUAAUGGGUCAUCGACUUAGUGUAUCUAGCAAGCUUAAGCCGUUAGGUGUAGGCGCAGCGAAAGCGAGUCUUAAUAGGGCGAUUGAGUUAGAUGUAUUAGACCCGAAACCGAGUGAUCUAGGCAUGGCCAGGUUGAAGGUACGGUAACACGUACUGGAGGACCGAACCCACAUCCGUUGAAAAGGAUCGGGAUGAGCUGUGCCUAGGGGUGAAAGGCCAAUCAAACUCGGAGAUAGCUGGUUCUCCGCGAAAUCUAUUUAGGUAGAGCGUCAUC
rnacentral:rRNA from 1 species